rnacentral:lncRNA from 1 species
CAGGGAGUUGAACAUUCACUCGCUAAAGCCUAGGGAAAACAACCAGAAUGGAGGUUGUCCAGGCUUUCAGAGUGGCACAGCAAGAAAAGUGCACUAUUGUAACAGAAUCGGGAGCAGAAAUCACAGAUGGCACAGUAUGAAAAUAACCCAACUUUUAUUUUCUCUCCUUUUUCCCCCAGCAGCAUAAAAAAGAACUGCCUGGACUAGGAAGUUUUUGGAAAGCUAGAUGUUACAAGAGAUGCAGCACUGACAGACGCACUGCUCUUCUGGUGCAGAAGACAGAGACCCUGGGAGGGCUUUUGGGGCCCUUCACUCCUCCAUCAGCGAGUCGUCUGCCUUAUCACAAGGCUCUUUCCAGAGUACAAUAGCAUAUGGAAGCAAUUUUGGAUAAUGAGUUGUAAAAUACAUUCCAG